rnacentral:rRNA from 1 species
GACGAACGCUGGCGGCGUGCUUAACACAUGCCAGUCGAACGGAAAGGCCCUGCUUUUGUGGGGUGCUCGAGUGGCGAACGGGUGAGUAACACGUGAGUAACCUGCCCUUGACUUUGGGAUAACUUCAGGAAACUGGGGCUAAUACCGGAUAGGAUCUCCUGCUGCAUGGUGGGGGUGGGAAAGUUUCGGCGGUUGGGGAUGGACGCGCGGCUUAUCAGCUUGUUGGUGGGGUAGGGGCUUACCAAGGCUUUGACGGGUAGCCGGCCUGAGAGGGUGACCGGCCACAUUGGGACUGAGAUACGGCCCAGACUCCUACGGGAGGCAGCAGUGGGGAAUAUUGCACAAUGGGCGGAAGCCUGAUGCAGCAACGCCGCGUGCGUGAUGACGGCCUUCGGGUUGUAAACCGCUUUCGCCUGUGACGAAGCGUGAGUGACGGUAAUGGGUAAAGAAGCACCGGCUAACUACGUG